ACAGUAUGGUCGAAUGGUAAAAUUUCUCUUUGCCAAGGAGAAGAUGCAGGUUCAAUUCCCGCUAUCUGCC
rnacentral:tRNA from 1 species